GUGGCUUGGAUGAUUUUUAUUGAAAAGUCCAUAACCAUUUGAUAUCUUUUAUAUGCUCUUACAUGCUGGUAGUUAGAAUUAAAUAUAAUUGCAUGUGAUGCAUUUGUAUAUGUUUUGGAUGUGCAUGAGACCCAAAUCCCUCGUUUAAAUUAUAUUAAAUCAUAAUGACGAAGUGUUAAGAACACUACCCAUGUCUUCCUUCAUGCCAAACCAGUAUUAUGUCAAGAACCAUAGUAGGCUUGUUGUGCUAUAUCCACAAGGCUUGCUGUGGGGAUUGAUGUGAUACUGUCUUGAUGCAUAAUGAAACUAAUUGUACUUAGCUCAUACUAAGUCAAUAGAGUAUGUCAAAAACUGUAGUGAGUUUGUUGUGCUAUCUACAAGGCUUGCUAUAGAAAUUGAUAUGAUGUUGAUUUAGUGAUGCUUAUGGCAUAUUUUGGUAGUGCUGUCUUGUUGUGCUAUCCACAAGGAUAGUAUUAUUCAGAUAUGACCAUACAAAAUUGAAGGAUACGACUUAACUAAAAUACUAUAGUUUGUUGUGCUAUCCAC
rnacentral:lncRNA from 1 species